CUCUGGAUAUACAGGAAUGACUUCAAGUUCCAUUCAGAAUUUUAACCAGGAGAUGUGGGAAAUGCUGUCCAAUAUACCACCUGAAAUGCGAAGAAAAUACUCCGAUAUUAUGGACAACUUUAUGUGAAAUGACCAGCUUAUUACUGACGAAAUUGCCCUUUAACUGGGAUGUGAAGAGCCACAGGAACUUAUGAAACAGUAAUUCCAAAAAUGGAAGAUGCUCAGCUUCUUCAAAUUUCUUUUUCUUCCUGUAAUUAGAUAUCGGCGAUUAUCUUAACUUAGAUAUACGAGAGUCUAUUCAUAUAAUAAGCAAAGGUAUCCAUAAUUGGCAGGGUGUUUUAUCAUUUGGUAAAUGCCAACAUCUACUUUCAGCAAAUAAACAGCUUAUGUAGAGUUUCAUUUAGCUGUUUGUUAUUAUAUGUCACAGGUGUCCUUAUCAAAUGCCACAUGCUAAGCUUACUCAUCACAUUGGAGAGAUGUCAAUCUUCCUGAUUAGCUACUGUAUGGAAAGCAUUCAAGUGCGAAACUAAGAACUGUCCCAUGUCAGUGUGACCCCUCACCACAAUGCUCAACAACUGAUAAGAGAAGUGAUUCUUUGGCAUUAAUUGUGACAAAUAUCUGGGCAACUGCACUGUGCUUUAGACAACUCUUCAACCAAUUUCUAUAAUCCUUCCUAUUUUCUGAUAUAGAUCUAUAAAUAAUCAAAUAAUCAUUUGGUAGUCAUCAUCUUAAAAGCAAUAUAAUAGCCCACAUUUUGUUUAAAAAUGAAUUGCAUAGGCUGACUGACUAGCUUGUUGUGUCUGCCUUCUUCCCCUAGUCUUUCUGUUGAAGAAUGUUCCUGAACUGCAGUUCUGCAAUAUCAGUUUUAUGUUAUUAUCAAAGGCAAUUGCAGGUAUGUCAAAUGUGCACAACAGCAUGUGCCACUUUAUAGAAUAUAAGGUUAUGUCAAAUUUCAACUUCAUAAAAA